GGGAUUUUGCAAAGAAAGGAGCUAAGGCUCCGCCCGGGGAUGGGCCCGCGUCCCAUUAGGUAGUUGGUAGGGUAAAGGCGUACCAAGCCAGAGAUGGGUAGCCGGCCUGAGAGGGUGAACGGCCACACUGGGACUGAGAUACGGCCCAGACUCCUACGGGAGGCAGCAGCUAAGAAUAUUCCGCAAUGGACGAAAGUCUGACGGAGCGACGCCGCGUGGAUGAGGAAGGCCGAAAGGUUGUAAAAUCCUUUUAUUGCGGAGGAAUAAGCGGGGGAGGGAAUGCCCNCGUGAUGACGUUAAGCAAUGAAUAAGCCCCGGCUAAUUACGUGCCAGCAGCCGCGGUAACACGUAAGGGGCGAGCGUUGUUCGGAAUUAUUGGGCGUAAAGGGCGCGUAGGCGGUUAUGUAAGCCUGGCGUGAAAUACUCUGGCUUAACCAGAGAACGGCGCUGGGAACUGUAUGACUAGAGUCAUGGAGGGGGAGUUGGAAUUCCAGGUGUAGGGGUGAAAUCUGUAGAUAUCUGGAAGAACACCGGUGGCGAAGGCGAAC
rnacentral:rRNA from 1 species